UCCAGUCCAUUCAUACUCUGGCCCGCCACCACCUCCAGGCCAUUCAUACACCGCCCCACCACCACCAACGCACUCCUACACAACCCCACCACCUCCAGUACAUUCAUACACGGCCCCACCACCACCAACGCACUCCUACACAACCCCACCACCUCCAGUGAGUACAUACGCCGCCCCACCGCCACCACCGCCAGUUGAUGGAUGCAAAACACAACCAUCACCUCCACCACCAGUAUACACGCCCUCAUCUCCACCCCCACCACCGUCACCCACACCAGUGUAUACGCCCUCUUCACCACCACCACCACCACCACAACAUGCGCCACCUGUGUAUACAUACUCUUCUCCACCACCACCACCAACGCCAGUGUACACAUACUCCUCUCCACCGCCACCACCACCACCAACGCCAGUGUACACAUACUCCUCUCCACCGCCACCACCACCACCAACGCCAGUGUACACAUACUCCU
rnacentral:lncRNA from 1 species